GCGGAAGUGAUGGAAUGGCAGACAUGCAAGAUUGAGGGUCUUGUGAGCGCAAGGCUCGUGUGGGUUCAAAUCCCAUCUUCCGCA
rnacentral:tRNA from 1 species